UGAUCAUGGCUCAGAACGUACGCUGGCGGCACGCCUAACACAUGCAAGUCGAACGCAGUAGCAAUACUGAGUGGCAAACGGGUGAGUAUAAUGUGGGAAUCUGCCUUUUGGUUCGGAAUAACACGAGGAAACUUGUGCUAAUACCGGAUAAGCCCUUACGGGGAAAGUUUUAAUGCCAAAAGAUGAGCCCGCACUUGAUUAGCUAGUUGGUAAGGUAAUGGCUUACCAAGGCAACGAUCAAUAGCUGUUCUUAGAGGAAGACCAGCCACAUUGGGACUGAGACACGGCCCAAACUCCUACGGGAGGCAGCAGUGGGGAAUCUUGCACAAUGGGGGAAACCCUGAUGCAGCGAUGCCGCGUGAGUGAAGAAGGCCCUUGGGUUGUAAAACUCUUUCGUCGGGGAAGAAAAUGACUGUACCCGAAUAAGAAGGUCCGGCUAACUUCGUGCCAGCAGCCGCGGUAAUACGAAGGGACCUAGCGUAGUUCGGAAUUACUGGGCUUAAAGAGUUCGUAGGUGGUUAAAAAAGUUGAUGGUGAAAUCCCAAGGCUCAACCUUGGAACUGCCAUCAAAACUUUUUAGCUAGAGUGUGAUAGAGGAAAGUGGAAUUUCUAGUGUAGAGGUGAAAUUCGUAGAUAUUAGAAAGAACAUCAAAAGCGAAGGCAACUUUCUGGAUCAUUACUGACACUGAGGAACGAAAGCAUGGGUAGCGAAGAGGAUUAGAUACCCUCGUAGUCCAUGCCGUAAACGAUGUGUGCUAGACGUUGGAAACUUAGUUUUCAGUGUCGCAGCGAAAGCAUUAAGCACACCGCCUGGGGAGUACGACCGCAAGGUUAAAACUCAAAUGAAUUGACGGGGACCCGCACAAGUAGUGGAGCAUGUGGUUUAAUUCGAAGAUACGCGCAGAACCUUACCAACACUUGACAUGUUCGUCGCGACUCUGAGAGAUCAGAGUUUUCGGUUCGGCCGGACGAAACACAGGUGCUGCAUGGCUGUCGUCAGCUCGUGUCGUGAGAUGUUGGGUUAAGUCCCGCAACGAGCGCAACCCUUGUCAUUAGUUGCUACAUUUAGUUGGGCACUCUAAUGAGACUGCCGGUGACAAACCGGAGGAAGGUGGGGAUGACGUCAAGUCCUCAUGGCCCUUAUGGGUAGGGCUACACACGUAAUACAAUGGCUGGUACAAAGGGUUGCCAACCCGCGAGGGGGAGCUAAUCCCAUAAAGCCAGUCGUAGUCCGGAUCGUAGUCUGCAACUCGACUGCGUGAAGUCGGAAUCGCUAGUAAUCGUGGAUCAGAAUGUCACGGUGAAUACGUUCCCGGGUCUUGUACACACCGCCCGUCACACCAUGGGAGCGGGUCUCGCCAGAAGUAGUUAGCCUAACCGCAAGGGGGGCGAUUACCACGGCGGGGUUCGUGACUGGGGUGAAGUCGUAACAAGGUAACCGUA
rnacentral:rRNA from 1 species